UACAGAGGGGGCAAGCGUUAUUCGGAAUUAUUGGGCGUAAAGGGCGCGUAGGCGGCUUUGCAAGUGGCGGGUGAAAUCCCUCGGCUUAACCGAGGAACUGCCUGUCAAACUGCAUGGCUUGAGACCAGGAGAGGUGAGUGGAAUUCCCAGUGUAGCGGUGAAAUGCGUAGAGAUCGGGUGGAACACCAGUGGCGAAGGCGGCAUCCUGGCCCUGACCUGACGCUGAGGCGCGAGAGCGUGGGGAGCAAACGGG
rnacentral:rRNA from 1 species